rnacentral:misc_RNA from 1 species
UGCAUCUUAAGGCUCAGCCUUGUGUUGAGAUUUCCUGGGAAGGAACUCUCCAAGCAUCUGGGCGUCCGUCGUGCCUGAACCGCAACACACUGCGUGCAGGGAUCUCGGCAGCAGUCGCCAAAAACCGUCUA